rnacentral:lncRNA from 1 species
GAUCAUUCCCUAGGCAUUGAAUUAGGAAGGUACAGAAACAUUCCAAGAGCACAAAGAUUAUGUAAAAAAUGUGGAGUCCUAGAUGACGAAUAUCAUUUCUUUUUGUAUUGAGACAUUAACAUAUCAUUGCGUUCUGAUCUUUUUGCUUAUCUAAAAGACUGUAAUAUUAUUUCAACAUCUUGAUGCAUUCAAUAAACUAAAAAACAUUCGUAACCCCAUUCCCUAACUUGUUUGUCAUAUUGGAGUCUUCAUUAAGCAGUCUUCAGAACUGAAGGAGUCAGACCCAUGACAGACAAGCUUAUGAUGGUGCUUUUUUACAUACAUUUAUAAUUGAACUCUAAUAUGUUCUAUUAUUCUAUAUAUUGUAUUGUGUUACAUUGUAUUACAUUGUAUUGCAUUGUAUUGUAUCAAAUUAUUGUUUGACUGCAUUGCUUGACGCUUAUGGGUGUAAUUUUACAAUGAAGAUUACAUUGUAAUUUGUAAAUCAGUUAUUUUUUCUAUUUUUUCCCUCUUU